UGAGCACCCAAAGUGAGCAAAAGAACAGAGUGACACAAUGACAUAGAUCGAGUGGCAUUCGAUAAAGUUAACGUAAAAUGAUACUAGAGAUAGUGUGAGGUAAAGAACCAAUGUAAUGUAAAGAAUGAUGAAAAUGACAAUGCUUAAAGUUAAAGUAAUGUGGGAAGUAAAGAACAUGAAGUGCUAGAGGUAGCCAAAAAUAAAGAAUUGUAAAGAAUGUGUUCGCAUGAGUUUGCAACAAAAAGUGAUGAAAGAACACUAGAGCUAGUGUAAAGUCAAGAUUG
rnacentral:lncRNA from 1 species